GACGAACGCUGGCGGCGUGCUUAACACAUGCAAGUCGAACGAUGAACCGGUUUCGGCCGGGGAUUAGUGGCGAACGGGUGAGUAACACGUGGGCAAUCUGCCCUGCACUCUGGGAUAAGCCCGGGAAACUGGGUCUAAUACCGGAUACGACACUCCGAGGCAUCUUGGGGUGUGGAAAGUUCCGGCGGUGCAGGAUGAGCCCGCGGCCUAUCAGCUUGUUGGUGGGGUAAUGGCCUACCAAGGCGACGACGGGUAGCCGGCCUGAGAGGGUGACCGGCCACACUGGGACCGAGACACGGCCCAGACUCCUACGGGAGGCAGCAGUGGGGAAUAUUGCACAAUGGGCGAAAGCCUGAUGCAGCGACGCCGCGUGAGGGAUGACGGCCUUCGGGUUGUAAACCUCUUUCAGCAGGGAAGAAGCGAAAGUGACGGUACCUGCAGAAGAAGCACCGGCUAACUACGUG
rnacentral:rRNA from 1 species